UCAGGGUAGGAGGGGAGGCUAGGUUAGUAUACACCCAGCUGACUUCUCUUCCACCCCAG
rnacentral:miRNA from 1 species